GCCUGGGUGGCUCAGUCGGUUGAGCGUCCAUCUUUGGCUCGGGUCAUGACCUCACAGUUUGCGGGUUCAAGCCCUGCUUCGGGUU
rnacentral:tRNA from 1 species